UGGGAGCAGAAGCUGGGGGGCGGGGGGCGCGGCCGAGGUGCGUGCGGGCGGUGCUCCGCAAAGUGGAGAGUCUGGGCGGUCGGGCCCUGGGCGCUGCUCCCCCGAAGGGGCCAGGGUCGCGGGCUCAAGCGGGACAGGGGCCUCCCUGGGCGCAGGCCGUGCGGGCAUGGUGAAGGAUGGGAGAGGCUGGCGCGCUGCCCGGGGUCUGCCCCGACCCGGCACCUUCGGAGCAUCUCCAUGGAGACGGCGCCCUACAACAGACCCCAUCUCCUGAAACAGUUACUAUCCGGCUCCUUAGGAAAGUUCGGCAACUCCUUCCCUAGAGGAUGCGUUCCAGCAGGGCAGGGAAGGUGACAGACAAACAGGAUCAGCCACGCAUCGCCUCGCUGGUGGACAGGCAUAGGAGGUGUGCCCAGCGGUCAGACAGAUGGUCCCGGGAGACUUCCUGUGGCAGAGCAGGGAUUUCUGCUGGGACAUCGCCGUUGAGAUAG